AGUAGGGACGUUGGGGCCUCUUCCCAAUCUCAGUCUUUUGUUUUGUGGGGUGGUGCUGCUGCUGUCUGCUCAAGUAAAUUGGUUUGUUUUAGUUUUGUUUAUAUAUGAGUUUUAAUUUAUCUUUGACCAUAGCAGUUAGUUUAAAUGCCCUUUUGCACAAGUUAAUUUGGGAACAAAAAACAUCUGAAAUGGGUGGCUAAAAAGUGCCAUUAGUGUAGUGUGAGUCAGUGCUCUCUCUCUCUCUCUCUCUUUCUUUGUCUAUAUAUAAGAAGCUAUAAGCGGGUUAGGGUUUUCAGAGUGAGAGAGGGGACAAACCGCAAAACGUUGAGAUGGGUUAGUAGUAGUGUUGAGGGGAAUGUUGGCUGGCUCGAGGCUUUUCAAAGAGGAGGUUCUCACUGGCAAGAACUAUAAGGCUUCGGACCAGGCUUCAUUCCCCUCAAAAAUUGUGUUUUUGUGUUACGGGGGCUUCAUUUCUUCUUGGAUUUGUGUUCAUCAAGUGCCAAAGGUUGUGUUGUGUUGGGUUUUCAUGUUGGAGGCUACAUAUGCAUUAUUAUGUGUGUAUAUGUUUGGUUACAAGUGUGUAAGCUAGCCCUGCAAAGGUUAGGUUGAGAGGAAUGUUGUCUGGCUCGAGGUCAUGGAGAUAUACAUAUGAAAGUGUUAACUUUUCAGUUAAUUUCUAGGAUAAAUUAAUGGAAAUUAAUUUAUACCCUAAAUGAUUCUCGGACCAGGCUUCAUUCCCCCCAGCCAACAUUUGCUACUCAAUAUAUAUACAGCUACUUAAUUUGCGUUUAAUUUAUGAAGAUUCUCAUCUUCAUAGGAUUAAUUGGUAAGGCUUUCUGUUUAAAUUAUUUUAAUUAGUACAUGUUCUUCUGCUAACUAUAUAUAUGCUGCUUUCUAGUUUUUCAUCUUGCUAUCAGAUACCACUGAAGAAGAAGGCUUUUUAAUUUUUAACUCUUACAAGAUUGGAGAAUUUCCAGAAGUAAGGUUACUUAUAUAAACUGUUUGUUAUAAUCUCCUAUGAAGAUAUAUAUACUAUGGUUUACCCCUUUUACUGUCUAGCCUUGUUUCCAUUACACCUGUAAGUGACCUUAUGAAGGCUUCUUCUUCAAAGUUUCCAGCUUGAAAGGACGACUAAACUAAAAGCGAUGAAAUGGCAGGCAUGAGUGCUAAUAAAGGCAUGCUAUGUAUGCAUUCGUUGAUGAAGGUGGUGGAGGAGGAAGAUGAUUCCCUUCCCUUAAUGAAAUAGAAACAGAAAGAGAUAAGAGAGAAGAUAUAUAUGUGCUGAAACAGUUAACGAGAAGAAGUGAUGACAAGAGAAGCUAGCUAUGGAUUCUCUGUCCGUGUAUGCACAAGCUGAUGCAAACUUAACAGAGGAAGAGAAAUUUACUAAUGCUUCCUCUAUCUUCUCUAUGGAUAUGCAAACAAGUACGUGUGUGUGUGUGUCUGAGUUCUGAGAUGUGUGUUUUAGUGUAAAGUAUUUAUGGGGCUUUUAAAGUUGUUGAAAUUUCAGAAACCAUCUUUGGGAAAGCUUGAUUGGAUCAGAAGAAGAAUCAGCUUCCUCCUCCUUUCCGUGGAGUCACACAGUAGUAAUAGAGAUUUUGAAAUUGGAAAUGCAAAAGAAACAAGAGAGAGAGAGAGAGAGAGAGUAGUAAAAUAAAUGACAAGUAUCUGACGAAUCUUGGGAAAUGAAACAGAGACAGAGCUACCCUGGGAACGAUUCAUCGCCAAGCAAGCCAACUUGGUCUCUGUCUCUUUAAAGAGGGGAAACUACUGCCAACCCUUUAUUUCUGACACUUUCAUCAUCAAUUUAUUAUCACCACUGCCCACCUAGGAAUACAGAAUUUUUUUCAAACACAAAUGCCUACUCACUCUUUUAGUCUUAGGACUAGUAAUUAUAAAAUGAAAAACAAAAUCAUUAAAGGUACUAUUA